AUGUCGAAUUUGCCAUGGUUAGUGGCAGGUGACUUCAAUGAAAUCCUGCAGGCCAGUGAGAAGGAAGGGGGUGCUGCACGCCCUCAGAGGUGUAUGCAGGCUUUUAGCAAUGCCCUGGAUGAUUGUCAACUUGAUGACCUUGGUUAUUCGGGAGAUAUCUUCAGCUGGCGUAGAGGUCGGAUACGAGAGCGACUCGACAAGGCAGUAUCUAACAGUUCUUGGGCCGAUCUUUUUCCAGCAUACGGUGUGGCGAACGAACCGUUUAAUAAAUCCGAUCAUCGACCGAUCCUA
rnacentral:rRNA from 1 species